CUUUCACUUGUCGGCGUGCUAUACAUGCAGUCGAGCGGAGUCGAUAGGAAGCUUGCUUUCUUGAGACUUAGCGGCGGACGGGUGAGUAACACGUAGGCAACCUGCCCUUUAGCCUGGGAUAACUACCGGAAACGGUAGCUAAUACCGGAUACUUUCUUUUUCUGCAUGGAAAAAGAACGAAAGACGGAGCAAUCUGUCACUGAAGGAUGGGCCUGCGGCGCAUUAGCUAGUUGGUGGGGUAACGGCUCACCAAGGCGACAAUGCGUACCCCACCUGAGAGGGUGAUCGGUCACUCUGGGACUGAGACACGGCCCAGACUCCUACGGGAGGCAGCAGUAGGGAAUCUUCCGCAAUGGG
rnacentral:rRNA from 1 species